UAUUUACUUUUUGUUGAAUUUUAAGGGACCUCAAGUGAAAUAAUAAUCGGUGAAUUCAGGAUCAACCUUUAUGUCCAGAGUGUUUGUUCCGUCCUCCAUUUCUUGUCUAGAGUAGUGGUAUGAGCUGAAAACAUUGCUAAGUGAUCACCACAUAUUGUUGAUGUAAGGGCUAUCGGUUAUUACAAGAGAUUUUUAUGACUCCUGCUGUGGGGGUGCCCUUUCUACCCGGCUGAGCUUCGUGGGAGCCAAGGCUGAGUCGGAUGUAUCUUUAUAUCCCCAGUUCUCGGUGGAACUUAAAAUGCUGUGAGACACCAGACAGACAGAUACUGUGAACUUGGAGCUCUCUAAUGAAGGGAUACCAAAGUCUUGUAUUCAAUUUUUUUUUCCUUAAAUUGUCAGCCGAAAAUGAGAGCACACCUAUUCAGCAACUCCUGGAACACUUCCUCCGCCAGCUUCAGAGAAAAGAUCCCCAUGGAUUUUUUGCUUUUCCUGUCACGGAUGCAAUUGCUCCUGGAUAUUCGAUGAUAAUAAAACAUCCCAUGGAUUUUGGCACCAUGAAAGACAAAAUUGUAGCUAAUGAAUACAAGUCAGUUACGGAAUUUAAGGCAGAUUUCAAACUGAUGUGUGAUAAUGCAAUGACAUACAAUAGGCCAGAUACCGUGUACUACAAGUUGGCGAAGAAGAUCCUUCACGCAGGCUUUAAGAUGAUGAGCAAACAGGCAGCUCUUUUGGGCAAUGAAGAUACAGCUGUUGAGGAACCUGUCCCUGAAGUUGUACCAGUACAAGUAGAAACUGCCAAGAAAUCCAAAAAGCCGAGUAGAGAAGUUAUCAGCUGCAUGUUUGAGCCUGAAGGGAACGCCUGCAGCUUGACGGACAGUACCGCAGAGGAGCACGUGCUGGCGCUGGUGGAGCAUGCAGCUGACGAAGCUCGGGACAGGAUCAACCGGUUCCUCCCAGGCGGCAAGGUAGUGCUCUGUGGCCACCGAGAGAGGGUGUCAUGUGGCCCCAGACUCUGUGUGCCUCUCCUUCUGGGUUGGUGCUGUGUGAUCUAGCACAGCCACCGGGAUCCAGAGGUCAGCAUGGGGCCCUGACGGGAGGUCCGGAUCACACACACAUAAGGCUGGUCUCUUCAGUCGGGGUCCAGGUGCCUCUGGCAGGGCUGCCGCUGGUGUUUCACGCAUCGUGGAGGCCACGUGGUCACUGACCUCAUUUCCUUGAUGGAGGCCCUGCUGCAGGCUAAUCCUUUCUCUUGGAGUGAAUGCUGACUUCUGUGUCUCUGUCACUGGGUGUUGACGUGAGGCACCGCCCUUGUUAUUCCAGUGGGGAUGCUGGUGUUGGAUCCGACAGAUGGUCCAUAAUAGGCCACCGACUGUGUUCACGUGGCUCCUGCUAUAGAUGGUCUUUGUGGUGGUGGGGCCCACUCAGCUGACCACGCUCUCCUUUCUGGCAGGGGACGUUCUAGACCCAGUGUCUUCAGUGGAAACAGAGCACAGGCUGUCUGCAGUCUCAGGCUUCCUAGCAGCCCUGAUAAGAGAGGUAGAGCAAUGCAGGUGACAUUAAUCCUUGCAGGUUUCAUUUCACCUCUAUAUCCAACAUUUUAUCUCAACAUGUAGUCUGUAGAAAACGUUAGUUUGAGCUUUAUGGGUUUUUUUCAUAUUAAGUCUUCAAAAUGCACACGGGAUGGGAUGUAAAGAACGCUGAAGUGGGGGCAUUUCAGAUGUGUCUGCUUCUGUUUGCCUGUGCCUGCUGGGAAGUUGCAGUGGUCUGUGUGGCUUGCGUGUUGCGAGGUUGCGGUCUGCGUGGCUCACGUGUUGGGAGGUCGUGGUCUGCGUGGCUCACGUGUUGGGAAGUUGCAGUGGUCUGUGUGGCUUGCGUGUUGGGAGGUUGCAGUCUGUGUGGCCCGUGUGUUGGGAGGUUGUGGCUGCGUGGCUUGUGUGUUGGGAGAGGUUGUGGUCUGCGUGGCUCACGUGUUGGGCGGUUGUCUGCUUGGCUCACGUGUUGGGAAGUUGUGGUCUGCUUGGCUCAUGUGUUGGGAAGUUGUUUAUGUGGCUUGUGUGCUGGAGGUUGUGGUCUGCGUGGCUCAUGUGUUGGGCGGUUGUCUGCUUGGCUCACGUGUUGGGAAGUUGUGGUCUGCGUGGCUUAUGUGUUGGGAAGUUGUUUAUGUGGCUUGUGUGCUGGAGGUUGUGGUCUGCGUGGCUUGCACUGUAGUUCUUUUGGACAGCCUUGUUCUGCAGUCUGUGCUUCAGCCCUGGAAUUGCCACAUUCUCCAAGAAGCCCUGGUUUCUUGACUAGAGAGCCUUGUUUAGAAGCCAGGACCUGGGUUCUGGGUGAAGCCCUCUGCAGAUAGAGCUGGGAGAUGGCUGUUGUGUGUGUCUGCACCACAUACAUGGACACUGUGCAGAAGGAUUCUGUUGGCACCUGUGUUUACAUGGGUUGAAAACUGUUUUUACAUGGAAACUUCCAGUUCCCUCCUGCCCCGUGGGUUCCGCCCACUUCUUCCCUUUCAGUUUUGUAUCUGCGCCGUUUGGACUUGACUCCUCAUCUACGUAUCAACUCCGUGUCCCAUUGAGCUGACCUUCCGCCUCUCCCCCAGGGCCCUGCUCCUAAUCUACGUAUCAACUCCGUGUCCCAUUGUAGCUGACCUUCCGCCUCUCCCCCAGGGCCCUGGCCAUCCUGUGGGCUCUGAGACUGCAUGGAUCGGUGGUGGGGAGCUGCCCUCACACAAACGUCCGGCUUUUCUCAGGCCAGGUGGCUGCCCUGACAUGGCAUGAUGUCCAGCGCAUGGACAUCACCCUUGCACUGGAGCCCAGCCAACCGCUGCAUGACAGCCCUCUUCCCCCUUGAACCCCAAGUCUGCACACACUAGUGCCUCCUCUUCCUGGAUCCUCCUGAUGGCCUGGACACAGAACUGGGGUGUGGGUGGUGGGUUUUUAAAUGAAAACCAGUCCACACGUGCUGGAGGGCUGGAGCCGCCUGCCGUCAGGGCAGUGCCAUGCUGACCUGCUGACCCUUCCAUUUUGUCAAGGCUCAUGAGCAAUUUUAAAUGUUUACUCGUGGGUGAAGGUUUUUGUUUCAGCUGUACCCCCUAUAGCAGGGCCAUGGGGAGCCUAAGAGGUUCUCCUUGGCACCUGUGCGCGCUCUGCUGUUGCCGGUGAGUCUGAAAUUCCAGGGAAUGCCCUGAGGGGCCCUCUGGUGUUUGUUCUUGGACAAAUGUGCUUUCACCCCCGUUAAGCCCUGCUUGUUGGCCUUCAUUUCAUUUGUGCUGCGCUGCCCCUCCUGAGGGACAGACGCUCAGGCAGUGCUUCCUUCCAGAUGGGCUAUCUGAAGAGGAACGGGGACGGGAGCCUGCUCUACAGCGUGGUCAACAUGGCCGAGCCGGACGCUGAUGAGGAGGAGACCCACCCGGUGGACUUGAGCUCGCUCUCCAGUAAGCUCCUCCCAGGCUUCACCACGCUGGGCUUCAAAGACGAGAGAAGAAACAAAGUCACCUUUCUCUCCAGUGCCACUACUGCGCUUUCGAUGCAGAAUAAUUCAGUAUUUGGCGACUUGAAGUCGGACGAGAUGGAGCUGCUCUACUCAGCCUACGGAGAUGAGACAGGCGUGCAGUGUGCGCUGAGCCUGCAGGAGUUUGUGAAGGAUGCUGGGAGCUACAGCAAGAAAGUGGUGGACGACCUCCUGGACCAGAUCACAGGCGGAGACCACUCUAGGACGCUCUUCCAGCUGAAGCAGAGAAGAAAUGUUCCCAUGAAGCCUCCAGAUGAAGCUAAGGUUGGGGACACCCUAGGAGACAGCAGCAGCUCUGUUCUGGAGUUCAUGUCGAUGAAGUCCUAUCCCGACGUCUCUGUGGAUAUCUCCAUGCUCAGCUCUCUGGGGAAGGUGAAGAAGGAGCUGGACCCUGACGACAGCCAUUUGAACUUGGAUGAGACGACGAAGCUCCUGCAGGACCUGCACGAAGCACAGGCGGAGCGCGGCGGCUCUCGGCCGUCGUCCAACCUCAGCUCCCUGUCCAACGCCUCCGAGAGGGACCAGCACCACCUGGGAAGCCCUUCUCGCCUGAGUGUCGGGGAGCAGCCAGACGUCACCCACGACCCCUAUGAGUUUCUUCAGUCUCCAGAGCCUGCGGCCUCUGCCAAGACCUAACUCUAGACCACCUUCAGCUCUUUUAUUUUAUUUUUUUAGUUUUAUUUUUCACGUGUAGAGUUUUUGUCAUCAGACAAGGACUUUGAUCCUGUCCCCUUUGGCAUGCGGGAAGCAGCCCCGGGGAGGUAAUGAAUUGUCUGUGGUAUCAUGUCAGCAGAGUCUCCAAGCCCCACGAACCCUGAGGAGUGGAGUCAUACGCGAAGGCCAUAUGGCCAUCGUGUCAGCAGAGAGAGUCUCUGUACACAGCCCCGUGAACCCUGAGGAGUGGAGUCAUACACGAAGGGCGUGUGGCCGUCGUGUCAGCAGAGAGAGUCUCUGUACACAGCCCCGUGAACCCUGAGGAGUGGAGUCAUACGCGAAGGGUGUGUGGCCAGGCUGCAGAGCUGCGUGCCGUCUGUGUCCGAGCAUCACGUGUGGCUCCAGCCCUUGUUUCUGCCAGUGUAGACACCUCUGUCUGCCCCACUGUCCCGGGGUCGCUCUUGGGAGGCACAGGCAUGGGUGUGUCUGGCCUCAUUCUGUAUCAGUCCUGCGUGUUCCUGUCAUAGUUUGUGUUUCCCAGGCAGGCCAUGGUAGGGGCCUCGCAGGGGCCAUUGGGGAGCACAGGGCCAGGCUGGGGUGAGGAGAGCUCCCCUGUUUUCUGUUUAAUUGAUGAGCCUGGGAAAGGAGUGUGUUCUGCCUGCCCGUUACAGUGGAGCGUUCCGUGUCCAUAAAACGUUUUCUAACUGGG
rnacentral:sRNA from 1 species